rnacentral:tRNA from 1 species
GCGAGUGUAGUUUAGUGGUAAAACGACCCUUCCAAGCUGUAGUCGCGGGUUCGAUUCCCGUCACUCGCU